rnacentral:rRNA from 1 species
GAUGAACGCUGGCGGCGUGCUUAACACAUGCAAGUCGAACGAUGAAGCCCAGCUUGCUGGGUGGAUUAGUGGCGAACGGGUGAGUAACACGUGAGUAACCUGCCCUUGACUCUGGGAUAAGCCUGGGAAACUGGGUCUAAUACUGGAUAUGACUUCUAAUCGCAUGGUGGGGGGUGGAAAGAUUUAUUGGUGUCGGGUGGACUCGCGGCCUAUCAGCUUGUUGGUGAGGUAAUGGCUCACCAAGGCGACGACGGGUAGCCGGCCUGAGAGGGUGACCGGCCACACUGGGACUGAGACACGGCGCAGACUCCUACGGGAGGCAGCAGUGGGGAAUAUUGCACAAUGGGCGCAAGCCUGAUGCAGCGACGCCGCGUGAGGGAUGACGGCCUUCGGGUUGUAAACCUCUUUCAGUAGGGAAGAAGCGAGAGUGACGGUACCUGCAGAAGAAGCGCCGGCUAACUACGUG